rnacentral:rRNA from 1 species
AAGUCAUCAUGGCCCUUAUGUCCUAGGGCGACCACACGUGCUACAAUGGCCGGCACAGCGGGAAGCGAGGCAGUGAUGCCAAGCGGAUCCCUUAAAGCCGGUCUACAGUUCGGAUUGAAGUCUGCAACUCGACUUCAUGAAGCUGGAAUCGCUAGUAAUCGCAGAUCAGCCAAGCUGCGGUGAAUACGUUCCCGGGCCUU